GGGACAGAGAGCGAACUGUCAGAUCGCGGCGAGCGAGCGCGGGCGCCCUAGAGCCGAGCAAGGGAGGGCGAGGGAAAGUGCGCAAGGGCGAGCGAGGAGAGAGCGCGAACCAGGGCGCAGAGCAGCUCCGCCGCACCUCCGCCGCCCGGCCCGCGCCCCCGUCGGGGCUCCCCGAGAGCGAGCGAGCGCGCAGCGUCCCCGGAGGGGUUGGGUGCAGGAGCCCCUCUAUGCACAUACACACCUCCAUCGCCGCCAAUGCACGCUUCUUCCUCCUCCUCCUCCUCCUCCUGCAGACCAUUGCUGGGAAAAAAAUAAAACACCAACCCCAAGCUCCAGCGACAAGGAAAGAUGUCGCAUCAGACUGUGACUGUUGCGAGGAGAAUGAGAAAGGACUCUUGUGUCCGAGGCAGCCCAGAGCUCCGGCAAUAGCAACUUCAGCGCAAUGCACCCUCGGAGGAAGUUUUCCUAGGACAGAACCAAACUUGGAAGGCGUGGACCCUUGGGGGGCAGCAGGCACCGGGCUCCCCUCUUCGUGCCCAACAGCACCCAGCACCGCCAAGCCUUCUGGGACCCAAAAAGUUUUGCCACGCCAAGGGGAAGCCUGAGAAAUGCGUUUCUGAGCGGGAGCCGGAGGAGGCUGCGGGCUCGGGCCGGCGGUUGGCCACGCGUGACUUGGAGAAGGAGGGAAGGCGCCACUUCUUUGUUGUCGCCCGCGGAGCCAUCACCUAGCAGGUGGACCGAGCACCGCGCUCUAGAGACCCGGGGAGCAGCAGCGGCGCCUCCUGGCCCGGCCCGGGCCGGCCCAGCGACCCCGG
rnacentral:lncRNA from 1 species